AGAGGAAGAAACAUUUCUCUCUGCAUGGUCUUUUUAAAAGAAGCCAUGUUAAUAAUGUGAAAUCAGUAUAACGCUUGCUGGAGGUCAGACUCACCAGAGCACGCUAAAGAUUGUGUGUUACUGUAGUGAUGUCAGUCAGAAUGGCUCCUCCUUUUGCUCUGGUGUUUCUGCUCAUGAUUCAUGGAGUUUAUGGGCAGUAUGAUUGGGGUGCGAGUUAUGGCUCUUCACACAUCUGUGCAAUAAAAGGGUCAACAGUGACAAUCCACUGUACUUAUACAUACCCUACUGGACAUCAGAUCAUGAAAGUGUUCUGGACCAAA